AUGGCCGUUCGGGGAUAUUCGAUAAAAUUGAAACGAUAUAGAGAAGAUUAGCAUGACCCUUGCGCAAGGAUGAUACGCACAAAAUCAAGAAAUGGUCAAAAUUUUU
rnacentral:snRNA from 2 species